GGCUACUAUUUGUUUACUUUAAUUUCUGGAUAGCAAUAAAUAUUGACGUAAAAUGAAUUGAUUUUUGUGCUCUUAUGAUAUGUAUCUGGUUUUACCAGUCACUAAAUGAGUAUGCAUUAAACAGGAAGUUGUAAGUUAUUCUGAAGGGUGGUGCAAUAAGUGAAUUAAAAAUCUUUCUGCAAUAUGGAUUCAACUGAAGUAGUAAACAGACAGCCAAAUGUUGACAAUUUCCACAAAACAAAGACAGAUUACCAAGCAAACGCUGAUGAAAUUUCGUAUGUAGAUAGUGACACACAUGCACAGUCAUUUUGCUGUUGUAUUCAUGGCUGGAAAAGUGGACCAGAUCCGCGAUGGUACUAUCCAUGGGACAAAGGAAUAUAUCGACUACUUGGUAUUGGAUGUAUGUGGUACUGUUUAUGUGCAUUUGUACCUUGUAUUCUGUGCAGUCGGACAGCCAGGGAUAUAGUGUGCUGUGAAGGACAGUGUACGGACGGUCGUAAGCCUGGACAUGCUGACAAUCAUGAGGAUGAAAAAGAUGAAAUUGCAGAAGCAUAAAAGUCUAGAAAAUUAAAGAAAAAAUUGUUGUGAUUGGGAAAACAUAUUGUUUUCCAUCAGGAUACUUUCAUUUCUCUUGCAUUUUUUAUUAGUACUUCAUUCAAGUUGCAAUAUGAUGGAAAUAUAUUUGACUUUUAUAACAGAACAAAUGUAUUUAUUAUUUACAUGAUGUUGAACAAAUUUAGUUGUACAUGCACACAUAUUUAUGAAUAUAUUGGAGAGUAAUUCUUUAAUGACUGUCAAUCAUGAUUAACCCUAUCACCAGAAACUUGUCUACUAUAUAUUAGUACAUGUAAGAGGGCCAAGUGUUAACCUCAGUUUUGUAAAUUUUUGAAAAAAAAAAAAACAUUUUAAAGGAGUUUACGUUUACAAAAUUACUUAAUGUAUGUGCAAAAUGUAUAAUAUGAUAAAAAAAAAACAUGCAUUAGACUUCAAGCAACCGCAGUAAAGGGAGUAAUAACCAAACUUUAGUACAAUAUAUAUAAAGUCCUUUACAUCUGAAAUUACUUGAUUAUGAAAUGACUUUUUUAGCAUUUAAUGGCUCGGACAUCUGAUUCUUUAACGACAUCUAGGAGAUCAUGUAAGAGGUCAUGUAUUAAUUAUGCUGUUUUCUCAUAUUCUCAGGUGUUGUUUUAUUCCCAAUAUUACACAGAGUAAUCAUUUCAUAAACAGUAUUUGGGUGUAAUUUUGUAUUACAUAUUACAGAAAUUAUCCCAUGAUUUUAUUGUUUUGAUACAGUAUCUGAUACCACCCCCAACCUCAGAAAUGAACCAGGUAACAAGAGUUUCUCGUAUUGCUGUGAAAUUAGAUUCACAUGGCUCUUCAGCAAAAAUAACUUGUAGACUUUAAAACAUUUAAAUUUUAAUUUACAUUUAAUUUUGCUUUUCCCACCAGAAAAAAUAAGGAUUUUUUAAAAAUGCAAAUAUUUUUAUCCAUUUGUGUUCACUUGAAAUUUUCAGUGUGUCAAUUUUGAUGCCAUUUACCUGUCUAGAAAACAACAAAUUUAUAUCUAUUGAAAAUUGAAAAGGCAAAAAGCAUGAAUAAUUAUGAUAAAGCUCAAAAAUACGAGAACAGGGGAUAUUUUAUGCCAGGAGACCAAGAAUGUUACACAGUUCAUAAUUAUACUUGCUGGCAUCAUUCUUGACAACCUAUUUAACCUCUAUAAGCAUCAUUAAAGAGUUCGUUUGAUGCUGUAGUGCACACUUCAUUUAUUAAAUCAGUAUGGGCUGAUUUUUUUACAUAUAGAUACAUUUCAAGCUGAUUUUAAUACAUUAUUUGGAAUGAUUUAAAUACAAGACAUUUUAAAUUGUG